rnacentral:rRNA from 1 species
AUUGAACGCUGGCGGCAUGCCUUACACAUGCAAGUCGAACGGCAGCACGGGGGCAACCCUGGUGGCGAGUGGCGAACGGGUGAGUAAUACAUCGGAACGUGUCCUGUAGUGGGGGAUAGCCCGGCGAAAGCCGGAUUAAUACCGCAUACGAUCUACGGAAGAAAGCGGGGGAUCUUCGGACCUCGCGCUGCAGGGGCGGCCGAUGGCAGAUUAGCUAGUUGGUGGGGUAAAGGCCUACCAAGGCGACGAUCUGUAGCUGGUCUGAGAGGACGACCAGCCACACUGGGACUGAGACACGGCCCAGACUCCUACGGGAGGCAGCAGUGGGGAAUUUUGGACAAUGGGGGCAACCCUGAUCCAGCAAUGCCGCGUGUGUGAAGAAGGCCUUCGGGUUGUAAAGCACUUUUGUCCGGAAAGAAAACCAUCGCCCUAAUAUGGUGGUGGGAUGACGGUACCGGAAGAAUAAGCACCGGCUAACUACGUGCCAGCAGCCGCGGUAAAAC